rnacentral:rRNA from 1 species
CUACGGGAUGCUGCAGUGAGGAAUAUUGGUCAAUGGACGAGAGUCUGAACCAGCCAAGUCGCGUGAAGGAAGAAGGUUCUAUGGAUUGUAAACUUCUUUUGUAAGGGAAUAAAAAGAGUUACGUGUAACUUAUUGUAUGUACUUUACGAAUAAGGAUCGGCUAACUCCGUGCCAGCAGCCGCGGUAAUACGGAGGAUCCAAGCGUUAUCCGGAUUUAUUGGGUUUAAAGGGUGCGUAGGCGGUUGUUUAAGUCAGUGGUGAAAGUUUGCAGCUCAACUGUAAAAUUGCCAUUGAAACUGAAUAGCUUGAGUGUAAAUGAGGUAGGCGGAAUGUGUUGUGUAGCGGUGAAAUGCUUAGAUAUAACACAGAACACCAAUUGCGAAGGCAGCUUACUAGGAUACAACUGACGCUGAGGCACGAAAGCGUGGGGAUCAAACAGGAUUAGAUACCCCGGUAGUC